rnacentral:rRNA from 1 species
AGAAUCAACGCUGGCGGCGUGCCUAACACAUGCAAGUCGCACGAGAAAGGGACUUCGGUCCUGAGUAAAGUGGCGCACGGGUGAGUAACACGUGAAUCAUCUACCUUCGAGUGGGGAAUAACUGAGAGAAAUCUUAGCUAAUACCGCAUAAUACCUACGGGUCAAAGCAGCAAUGCGCUUGAAGAGGAGUUCGCGGCAGAUUAGUUAGUUGGCGGGGUAAUGGCCCACCAAGACGAUGAUCUGUAUCCGGCCUGAGAGGGCGCACGGACACACUGGAACUGAAACACGGUCCAGACUCCUACGGAGGCAGCAGUGGGGAAUUUUGCGCAAUGGGGGAAACCCUGACGCAGCAACGCCGCGUGGAGGAUGAAAUCCCUUGGGAUGUAAACUCCUUUCGAUCGGGAAGAUAAUGACGGUACCGAGAGAAGAAGCCCGGCUAACUUCGUGCCAGCAGCCGC